CGCUUAACACAUGCAAGUCGAGCGAUAACCAUGGCUUCGGCCAUGGGGAGAGCGGCGAACGGGUGAGUAACACGUGAGCGAUCUGCCCUCGACACUGGGAUAGCCCGGGGAAACCCGGAUUAAUACCGGAUAGCCUCUCGGGCCCACGGGCUCGUGAGAAAAGAUGGCUUCGGCUUUCGGUUGAGGAGGAGCUUGCGGCGGAUUAGCUUGUUGGUGAGGUAACGGCUCACCAAGGCGACGAUCCGUAGCUGGUCUGAGAGGACGAUCAGCCACACUGGGACUGAGACACGGCCCAGACUCCUACGGGAGGCAGCAGUGGGGAAUCUUGCGCAAUGGGCGAAAGCCUGACGCAGCGACGCCGCGUGAGGGAAGAAGGCCUUCGGGUUGUAAACCUCUUUCAGGAGGGACGAAGCUACUCGGGUUAAUAGCCCAGAGGGUGACGGUACCUCCAGAAGAAGCCCCGGCUAACUACGUGCCAGCAGCCGCGGUAAUACGUAGGGGGCAAGCGUUGUCCGGAAUUAUUGGGCGUAAAGCGCGUGUAGGCGG
rnacentral:rRNA from 1 species